rnacentral:lncRNA from 1 species
UAACUUCUAUUGCAGAAAAGUCAUUAUUAUUAUUCAAAAGGACUUCGCGUCCACUGGAGCAAAACCGUGAACGAAGACCUUGCUGACAACACUGGCCUCCAGACAGCUUUCAAAGCAUAUACCAAAGUACUUGAAGAAGAAUGUGGAGGGCAAGAUACUCGUCUAACAGGUCUAGAAAAAUUCAGCGGAAUGCAGCUGUUCUUCAUUUCGCGUGCUAGGACUUUGUGCAAAACAGCAGACAAGUAUUCACUCAUCGAAGAGAUAAGAAGGGUAAUAUUCAGCUCUGCGCAAAACAGGGUGAACGUGCCCUUGAAGAAUUUGGACGAAUUUGGUAAGGCGUUCAACUGUUCACUUGGCUCCCCAAUGCACCCGUACAAAAAUGAAACCUGUUCUUUAUGGUGAAGGGGAAUCGGACAACAGCAUGAAUAUACCUUGUGUAAAGAGCGCAAAACGGAGACGGGAUACGAGACAAGACGACACCACAAGCACUAAUCAUUAAACCAUUUUG